AUUGAACGCUGGCGGCAUGCCUUACACAUGCAAGUCGAACGGCAGCACGGGAGCAAUCCUGGUGGCGAGUGGCGAACGGGUGAGUAAUAUAUCGGAACGUGCCCGGUCGUGGGGGAUAACGUAGCGAAAGCUACGCUAAUACCGCAUACGAUCUACGGAUGAAAGCGGGGGAUCGCAAGACCUCGCGCGAUUGGAGCGGCCGAUAUCAGAUUAGGUAGUUGGUGAGGUAAAGGCUCACCAAGCCGACGAUCUGUAGCUGGUCUGAGAGGACGACCAGCCACACUGGGACUGAGACACGGCCCAGACUCCUACGGGAGGCAGCAGUGGGGAAUUUUGGACAAUGGGCGCAAGCCUGAUCCAGCAAUGCCGCGUGCAGGAUGAAGGCCUCGGUUGGUUAAACG
rnacentral:rRNA from 1 species